CCUACGUUAUGUGAAUAAUGCACAAUUACUUUCGCAUCAAAUUGUGAUAUGCUGCGUUUUAUUUUAUUGAAGAAUCCGCCUACUUCUUAGCGUACAAAGUCUCUCAAAAGGUUUCAUCCGACUGUACAAUUACGAGCGGAAAGUGUUUAUUUGCGUUGGACAACUAGCAAGACUUUAACACAAGCGGUUGUCGUAGCAAUCUCCACAGUUACCAGGUCGAUUCAUGUAAUCUCUUGCACUGCUUGCACGAUUUUCCUUGUGACUAUUGACUAACCUACGCGUGUCAAUGAAGAGCCUUUGCAAUUUAUCGUAUUUUAAAAUAGGGGUAAUUAAGUUAGCAGAAAUUACAGUAGCUACUGGCACGAAUUGCUGCAUAAUGCGGUAGCCUAUUUUGCAACAAUUUCUCUUUUUUGCAUAAUAGGCUACAUGGAAUAGGUAGCUAGUCGAAUAAGCAAAAAAUAAUUAGUAUUUGUGUUAAACAAUCAUUAUCUUCCUAUAUAUACCAGUUCAUACCUACAUAAUCGAGCGGUCUGUUGGAAGUUUUAAAUUCUUUUCCCAAUACAUUUCGGAGUAAUAUCGGCAUUUUCUUAUUUGAAAUGUCAUUUACACUUGUUUAACUAUUUAUAUUAGGCAUGAGUAUAAUUCAUAGUAAUAGGGUAAAGGUAAGUUACAGGGUUUAAUUAGUAAUAGCAGGAAGUAAAUAUUUUUAUUCUCAUUUUUUAGGAACAAGAAAACAUAUGCUAUAACUAAGCUAUUUUGUUCAAACCCCAAUUUCAAUACCAAAAUUUUAACAAGCUGUUAAUUUGUCUCAAUUAGGUGCUAAAAAAGUAAAUAUCCCAUGUUCACAUUCUGCUUAUUGUGCUAUAUUACAAACAACUGAAAAAAGAGGUUUUAACCAAUCAAGUCAACAUGAAUCAAUAGGCUACUAAUUGGUGAGGGUGUGGAGACAUGGCCAAAACGAAAGAAUUCAAGAUCAAAAAACAAAUGUGAACAUGGACUUAUCUUAAUAGCAUGUAUAGAUAUUUUCAACAUAAUGUGGCUUAAGGUGGCAAAUAAUCCCUCUAAACAUGGAAAGCAACUAUUUAAGAAAAAUUACCAGCUUGUUAAAAUUCUGGGAUUGCAAGUGUUCUUGGAAAGCAAGCCAGCACCCUACACAGAAGGUCCCCAGGACUGAGCUUGAAUACCUAGGAGCAAAAGUAUUUUAGUGUUGUAAGCGGUAAGUAUAUGUAUUUACUCCGGUAAGUAUAAGUUUGAUAAUCAGUGGAAGUGCAGGUUUACAUAAUUCAUCAGUAAUUAAAAGCAGUUGGUAUAGGUUUGAACAUAAUUACAAGCAUUCAUAUUAAUCUGAACGAUAAUCAACUAUUCAGUUCAGUUUAUGGCAAUGAGGGAGAAAUGUGCAUAAAUGAUUAUGUCUGCUGUUUUUAGGAGCCCCAAGUAAUCAUUAUCAAGGGUAUAAUUCUUCCAUUUCACCCGUGUGGAGGUUGGUACAGGAAUCAGGACCAUGAGAGGCAGCUGGGACAAUGUUCAGUUUGACGGGCAGAGGUUUGGGAAAGUGGUGAUGGUGGAAAGGAUGGGGUGGGCCUUGGGCUCAGGUAAUAUUAGACAGAACAGGAUGAACAGAGGUAAGGUUUAGCAGGUAGGUCACUUUUGGGUGUCUCUGUGAUUGAAGAAGCCAUAAUCAUUUUUUAGUCUUUUAUGUAAUAAGCCGUGGUUCAUAUAUAAUGUUUAAAUGCACUUAUUAAUGUUUUAAUUUACGCCACCACCAUACUGGCCUCUCUACAGUUAACUAGCUUUUUGCCAACUCCUUAGCUUGCGGUGCUGUAACUUUUUUAGCCAGCAGGCUUGCAAUAAAUAAAUUAGGUGAAUAAGCACAUACAUACGCAGGUGCCAAAGGGCAUACUAAUGUGGUGUUAUUGUAUUCAGUAAGAGCACAUCACAAUGGUGACUGAACCAAAAAUAGGCGGUCGCCAAUAUUGACCAAGCCAUCGUUUCAUGUUUAAGCUGGUGGAGCAUAAAGGGAAAUGAUGACCCUCUCACGUAGUUCUCCCAGUAAGUCGAGUGAACGAGGAGCAGGCUUCUAGUUUACAAACACACGUACAGAAGGGAUGCAAAAUCCUACAUAGUAUAGUAUGAUAAAGGAAAUGCCUUAGACUUUGUUUGCAUAAUGUAUCGACAAUUAAAGGCACUAAGUGAAGGUUAUAGAAGAACAGAAAUUAAACACGGUGAGAAGCUGUUUUCCUGCAAUGUGGGGAAAAAUUAAUCAGAUGAGUCUGGUAAAUGCAUGUAAUGUAAUGCAGUGUAAUUGAAAAUUAUAAGACUGGUUUUUUUAAGGAGUCUUGACGUUCAUCACUUCAAGGGAAUCGUUUUAGCAGUUCAUCCCACGUGGGGGUUGGAACGGAACGAUGAAAGAAAGCUGGGACGACGUUCACAAUGGGACGGACGGAGCGAAUGGGAUAACGGCAAUUAUGGACAGGAUGGGUGAGCCUUAGUCUCAGGGAAUAUUGGAGAGAACAGGAUUUAUAGAGGUAAGGUAGGAAUAUCUGCAGUACAACUGGUUGAAGGGAUCCAUAUAGGUUAUGUAACAGAAAAGGAUGGGGCACUGAGACAGUGGUCAGGGUGGUGAUUGUAGUGCUGGCCACCCUGGGGAUGCUAAAGGUUCUUAUGUGGUACUGCAGGAGACGCCCAGCAAGUGAGCUUGACAACCAAGAGUCAGCACAGCCUGAGGAGGGAUCAUACCAGCAAAGCCCUAGAGGACCAAUGCAAUGGAGGGCUUCCCUCAUAUGUACAGCUCCCAUUGAUGUGUAUAAAUGUCUUUAAGCUGUGCAGAAUUUAGCCUUCAAAAAGGAAGAGAACAAAUAGAAACGUAUUUCAAUUUUAAUAAAACAUAAAGGGCAUAUUGUAAAAUGCAAAAUAUUUUCAUUUUAAAGAACCAUUAUUAGUGCUGGUCAAAUAUAUAACAGACACAACCAACUCCCAUUUCACCUAUCAUUAACAAAAGGGCUUCAGCCUACAGCUGACUGGCUGAUCAACAGGAACCAUCAGAACUGUCGUCUCUCCUGAUUGAUGUGUGUUGCUAUACCAACGCAGAAAGUAUUUAUGAGUGAUCAAAACAUCCUUUUCACAGAUCUUUAUUGUUAAUUAUUCCAUUUUGCUGGAUUUAGCUAAAUCUGUGGUGACUGGUGGUCAAAAAUGUUUGUAUUCACGCUUCAAAUACCAUAGUUCAAAUCUAGCUGAAGAUACUUCUAGGAGCACGUUGCGUGCAUAUUUUUCUUAAAAGAUUAAUCCAGCGGUAAUGUACUUUGGAGAACGAUAGAGACACACCGUAAUAUUGACCCACAUAUCAAACCUAAUUUGAAUGAUACUUUUUGGAGUUUUGGUCAAGUUCAAGUUCCUUUGCGUGUGUCAUCACAUGUGAACACUUGGCAGGACUGUUAGCGUAUUGACUGUUAGCAGCAUAUAGGCUAUAAAAGAGCAAUUACAGAAUCCAAACCCAGUGAAAUGAUGUUGCCACAAAAACUCCAUCAUUUAAAGGAUUGACACUUUAAUUGCUGUAUAUUACUUACAUCUCCAGUUCUUGAAAAAUGACAGAAAAUGUUUGUUUUAAAAGGUUAUUUUAUAGUGUUUUCGGUUCUAUUGCAUUCUUUAAUAAUUAUUAUGCUUGGGAUGUGCACAAUACCUAGUUGUUUAUCGCUAAUUUAUUCAUGAUGCUUUUGUGAGUUAAUUUUAUCUUAGUUAUAAAUAGCUCAGCAUAAAAAUGUCACUGUCAAAAUAAAAAUGUGUUGAUUUGUUGAUUUA